AACCUACACACCCAAGACCCCUAGGUCACAUGAUGGAUAUUAGAAGGACACGUGAUUAAAACUUGGAAUUUCUUUUCAGCAGAUGUUUCUUCAAAGAGGGCUGCCUGGUCCUGUUGUUCUUGCGGCAUCAACUGCUUACAGGAACAGACAUAAAUCCAGAAGGGAAAAGAUCUACUGGGGAUGAAGCAGCCUGUGGUGGUGUGCUAAUGAUAAAAAGGUUGGUAAGUGGAAGACCUUUGCUUCUUACCCAUCCUUACUACUGCAGCAUAAACACUUCCCAACUUUACUGUCCUCAUGUUAACAAGACUGUAACUACUAACUGAACAUUUCAUUAUUUCCUUUCACUGACAAGCAAAAUGAGGAUGAAGAUAUAUUUUAUAUUUUAGCAGAAUGACAGCAUGAUACCACUAAACUCCAACCCUGACUUAUAGUGCUAACUUCUUUCCCCUGAGUUUGAGAAAAUGGUGAUCAAGGUGGAAUUUUAGGUCCAGCAUCUGUGGUGUGUAUGGUCCAAAUAUGCAAGCUGAGGACGGCAAAAUAAAACAGGUUUUCUUGUUGGUUAUUUUACUUUAGAGAAUUUCGUCCAGUAAAUGAACAAUUUUAUAUUUCUUGAAAGGUGAGCAAGCUAUCACAUCCAUAUAAAUGUCUUUUGCAUUAAGAUGGCCUGGCGUUUUACUUACCUAUAUAAGCUGAAGACUGUAUUACCGUUAUGCAUCAAGUACACAUACACUUCCUCCACAUCUUCAUGUUUCAUCAUAUUGAAAGUAAAGAAAUACACCCCUGAAAAGGUUAUAAAAUACAACUUGUUUGCUUCAUAGAAAGAAGUAAUCAUGCUGCAGAUUUGUGCUUCUUGCUUAGAAAACAUAACAGCUGUGGACAAAACUGCCUUCCAGUUGUCAGCAGAUACUUUGCUUCUGCUUAUAGUAUUCCAAAAUCUGAUUAAUUCUGCAUAUGGCAGGUGGUGUUUUUGCUGCAUCACAGCUGCAUAAGAGGGGGAUUGAUGCAGCUGAGAAGUAACCCAUGAAGUAUUGUAAUGCCUCAUUUCCAGCCAUACAUCUGUUGCAAGUCAGCUUGCAGCUGAAUUGGCAUGGGGGAGGAUGAGGAUGAAGAGAUUGACAGGAGGCAGGAGGUGGAGGAGGCAACUGUGAAGCUGCUGCUGCUUGCUACAACUUCAAGACUGUGGUUCUGUCAUCACAGUGGCUGAAGGGCUAAAGAGCCACAGCAAAGCAGACAGUCCUGCUCCCUCCCUAGCCCUGGCCAUGCCUCUUCCUCCUGCCUUUGUGUCAGCCCUAGUCUCACUGGCUGGCAAGACUUCUCUUGGCUUGCUCAGUUUUCAAUUAAAUUUUCUGGAAAGUAGGUAGCAACAGCUAUGCAAGUGCACUUGCACUAUGCAAGUGCAAAGGCAGUUAAAUAGUGCCUCAUCCUUUUUGACCACACAUCUCCCUGCAGCUCCAGUAAUUACAUUUUUUUUUUUUUGCAAAUGCUCACCAUUCACUGGAGCACCAAAUCUCCCGGUCAUGACAUCAAAAAAAUUCCCAACAUUGGUUUCAACGCUACUGAAGAUGAUCCCACUGUUCUGGUUGCUGAAGUGAGUAGCCAUUGAAGCCAUAAAUGCGACCUGCAAAAAAUCCAGUUCUCGUUCAGACAGUCAUUGAUGAAAAACACAUGUGUAGAGCAAUAAGGUACAGAUUUUUUUUCUGUAUUUGCAGUCUGUUUAUUUUCCUGACAGAGAUGUUCUUCUAGGGCUUGCUCCAAGGCCAAUAAACUCCAGUUAACAAAACUCCCAUUGAAUGAAACUGGAAGAAGACUAGGGUUCUCAUAUUCAAUUAGACUAUUCAUGACUGUAAAGUGAGCAUAUGGUCAAGUGUUUGCAGCUCAGAACCUUAAUUUCAGAUUUUAUUUACUUUUAUGUCUUGCUAGAAUGAUGCAACAGCAAUAUAGUAUUGAAAUGGAUGAUGUUUCUGACAAAAGGGUUUUAUAUUGUUUUAUGUAUUCCCCAAUGCGUUUAAACUGAAUAUUGCUUUUAACUGCAUGUGUGAAAACAAACAAGGCCCAGUAAAAUGCAUGCAGAUUAGUGUUUCUUCUUAGAGAUAGAUGAAGCACUUCUAUUAGAUGUUCUCUGGAAGUGCAGCAGCUGGGACUCAAUAUACAAUGCUUUUUCUAUUUGUUACCCUGAGUCUUGAAAACAGAGGGUGGUGGAGACCAAGAGUGGAAAAUAAGAAAAUUAAAACUGUCCUUCAACUUCAUGUUUCACUUCUUGCGCUAGAAAUGUUUUAUAGGAAGCAGCGCAAAAAAACCCACACCAGACAAUUUGAAUUGCCCUCAGCAAUAUACCAGGGAAUGACCCUGCCAGCUGGCCUGCUUAGGGAAGGGAGUGACCUUUUCUGUAAGGCUAUCCUCCCCACCACCCCCGCCCCACAUUAUGUGAGUAAAUGAGUGAGCAUUAGAAUUGCUACACUUUGUUGCCAAAAGGUUACACAGAGACUUGGCUUUUUAUUUCUAUCUCAGCUUCUUCAAUGACAAGUGUUCAGUUGCAUCUGUUACUGCCCAUCACAAAAAUGACAUUUUUUUGUCCGAUUCCAGCUAUGCUGGUAUCUACAAAAUAAAAAAAAAAAACAGCCCAAACUCCUUUUGAUUUCAGAUCCAAACCAGAACAAAACCAAAACAGACAAUCAAAUGCAAGUCUGGAUCCAAUAAUGGAAAUCAUUAACCAUCUGUUCAGAAAUUUAAGGAGCUCCAGAUGUGAGCUGAAAGCUUGGGCUGAUUUUCCUUACCCCUGCAUGGAUGCAUUUUCUGUUAUGGCAAAUUGUUAAUAUCUUGCUUCUCAGCCAGGAUCACAUCAAAGUUCAUCUUGUGUUAAAGGAAAGCAGCUUCAAUGGCAGAUUGAUGGAAUUUAUUGCUUUUGGUCUAGAUUCAAUUUCACAGUCUCUUUGACCCUAAGCUACUUUUUGUGGGCUGAACAGAACAACAGAAAAAUAUAUUUUUUCUCCUUAGGUCUCACUGUGCAGUAGCAGGUCAACAUGGAUACACAAAGUUUUUCAAAAUAAUCCUGUACUUAAAACAGUAUUGUAUUCAAAAGUGUUUUCUCCUAUACCACCACUGUCUUUAAAAUUCUUAAGUAUGGUGAGAAGAAAUACUGUAAACAUUUUUAAACACAUCUGAUAAAAGAAGUGAUGGAAUUUUAAGCACUGGAAAUAGGUAUUACAAUAUAAGCUGUCGUUGUUUAUCCUCUUUCAUCACUCAGUUUUAAUUACAGUCCUACCAUUGUCUUUAUGUAAGAAAAAAAACAGUGGUAGUUCAUUUUAAAAUUGUACAACGACAUACACUGAACAUAAUUAAAGGUAUGUUUAUAAGAUAUUUAGCUAUACUCUGAGUAUAUAUUAUAUAUAUUUAUUAUGUGUAUAUGCACAUAUAUCAAUAUGUAUAUAUGUAUCUGUGUGUAUGUGUGUAUAGAUAUAUAUUAUAUAUAUAUACAUACAUAUAUAUUUAUAUAUACAUACACAAACUCUCUGUCAUCUGCCAGAUUUCUGGGAUUUGAAGAAGCUUUAAUGCAAAAGCUGUGAGAUUGUGUCAAUAUAAGAGUUGAGCUCAACAGCUCAGGCUUGAACCCAUAUUUAAAUGCUCAUCUGGCUUUUGAGUUAUUCAUUCAUAGGCAGAGCCUUCAUGGUCCCAAACAUAUUUAAAAUAUCUAAGCUUAUAAAUACACAGGGUUUUUUGAAAUAUCACAGGUAUUUUUUUGAAAUUUCACAGGUAUUUUUUUUAAAUUAGAGACUCUUACUGCACUCAGAAAUUUUGAGCCUGUAUUUUGAGGAGCUGGAUACAUGUGCUUCUGAGAAUCUCAUGAAGCCCGGCUACCCUGAGAAACAUGACUCCUUUACUCUUUCCAUAUGCUGUGGGAACUGCAAUUAUUUAUGUGAUACAACUUGGUAGAAAAAUGAUAGUCCCUGCUAUUCUCCUUUAAUAACCCAGAUACUGGCUUUUUGCCCUCAAAGGAAAGCAUAUAUGUUUCUUCCUGCCUAUUUUUCAGCUAGGUUCUGACUAAAGCUUUUCUUCUCAAGAAAGAUCUAGCAGAGCAUUUUUUUCAGUAAGGACAAGGGCUGUAUAUGCCUGUUACAGUAUUAAUUUUCAAGGGGGUUUUCUUCUUAAGUAUCUUACAGUAAUAAGGUGCUGUUUUCUCAGUGAAGAAAACCAUAAUCAGAGAUUUGCUGCAGCCAAUAUGAGCCAGAGAUGUUGUACCUGUAGUUCUGGGGGAAUCCCAGGGUAACCCUUCUCGCCUUUGGGUCCAUGAUGGCCACGCUCUCCUCUUGGUCCAAUAUCUCCUUUGUCUCCUUUCUCACCUUUAGCUCCCUCCUGGCCAGUUGCUCCAUUAUUUCCAUUGUUUCCAUGAUUUCCUGAAGGGAGACAAAGCUUUCUGGUUUAUUUAAAUAAGUUAUCAUACUUUAACAGGUAAGUGUCACAGGGUCCUCUUCCACCAGCUUGCAACAUGGUGCUCAUCAGUGCCAUAAACCCAGGCUGAGAUGUAAUGGAUAAGAACCUGCAGUGUUGUCAGGUUGAUGGUAGAGGUUUUGAUGAGCAGAUUUCCAGAACAAAGAUUUGGGGUGUUAACUCUCAUGGUGCUGUAUAAACUGGUGGUGUCUCAAGUCAUUGCUUUGUUGGGGAGAUGUGCAGGAAGACCUCACCAGACAGAAGGCUCAAGGAAAGCAAAAGCCACUUUCUAUUGACACAUACUAGGCAGCUUCCAGAAGCAGUUUUGCUUUUCCUUUAGUAUAAACACCAAUUUCCUGGUAAAUUAAGUCAAUCAUGAUGGGGUAAGAUAAUUUUGAAUAAGAUUUUGCUAUCUAUAAAACACAUCCACAUAAAUGAUGAAAGGCUUGUAGUAUUAAAGUAAUUAAAAUCUGUACUAAAAACAGGACAAUGUGUAUUCUCAGGGUGCUGGUUAGGGGUCAUUUUGAUUGCAUAGUCCUAGAUUUAAAGAGAGACAACAUUUUUAUAAUUAAGCUUUUUUGAGAUGGCUUACUAUGAGUAAAUGAAUAAAAAGACUCAUUGCAAAA